AGCCGAGGCGAUGAGACCCUACAGAGGAGGCAGGCCGCCGCGGUGGAGCACGCCGGCCUGUCCGGCGGCCGGAUCGAGUGCGCCGCCGCCGUACUUCUCCACUCCCUCGCCCUCGUCCCCCGCGCCGCCUCCGCCCCUGUUAUCUCGCCGUCUGCCUCGGCUCGCCCUCGCUGCCGACCUCGGCCUCCGCCUCGUCCACGUCGAUGCCAACCGCGCAGAGGAGGUGGCGUCUAGAUGAUGGGUGCCGCUAUAAGUGGGAGGGAUCAAAGUUCCCGAUUUGCCUCUCCUGACCAGGAUCCUAAAAAUAAGCAAGUAUGUCUUGUUGACCUAACGGUGGAAUCAUAGUCAAGGAAACAGGUGGAGUUGAGUCCAGAGCUUGAUCAAAAACCUGUUGAUUUGCUGAAAGAUGACUUUGUUGUAGCCUUGCAUGCAAGAGAUAAUCUAGGAUUUCAUGUAGCCCGACAGAGGGUUUCUGAGAUGGCUGGUUCCCUUGACACAAUACCUAAUGCAGCAAAAAGAGAUCCUGCUGCAAAAGUUCCUUGUUGCUUUUAGCAGCAAGGUACUCCAUUAGAACAUCCCACUAAUGACCCUACUUCUGAAAGGAAAAACAAAUCCAGCUUAUCAACACUUAUUUAUCCAGGUCAUACUUGGAUUACAGUCUUUUUCUGCUGGUUAGUAUGAUUACCUUGUUUUCAUUUUAUUGUAGAGGAGCAGUGGCAUUCUUUGGUUUCAUGUUCUUAAAAUGGAUUAAUAUGGUGCAAUUUUAGAACAAGAGAAAACUUGAUGACUAACAAGGCUAAGCACAAACAACCAGAAACCUUAGCAACCAAAGAAAACCUUCAUGAUUAGAGGAUUUGUAGUUAGACUGUUGUUGCUGGUGAAGAAUUAGAUGUAUGGGAAGGCUAGGUUAUGAAGUCCUAUCAGCUAAUGUAGUUGACUUGUGAUUUUUCCUCCUUUCAAGAACUAUUGCAGGUUAAUGUACCCCUUGGCUUUUAUUCAGUUUACCGCAAGGCUUAAUUUUUUAUCCUCUUUACAUUAUUAGAUCUUGGAAUUUGUAUUUGCAGCCAUAGUUUAGAUGUAUGGAACAGAUGGAUGCUAGAAGGUUGUGUCCUGGAACAUUUAAAACUUGUCUACUGCAGAAAACCAUUGGCUGUCUUGGAUGUAAGCAUCAAGAUUCUUGCAGUGGUGGGUGAAGAUGGUGUUACUAGAUGUUUUGAUUAACUUUUCUUUUGCAGGAACUGGUUGAAGUGAAGCCACUGAUCCUUGUUUUGGAUGACGAACUCCCUCCGCUGCGUCCAUGAAAUGGAGCAUGACCACGAGCACAGACACCGGAACGCUCAACGACACCCUCACCGUCAACCCUACCCCCACCGUAGGCUGCUCCUUGAGCGGAUCAAUCUGCAGCAACCCCGAUAUAUCGCAGGAAUCUGAUUCAAAGAACUUGUGGCGGUAGUGCUUGUUCCACUCCAUCCUCGCCGGAGAUGCCUUAUCAACCCCGACCAUCACCUCCAUCUUCCCGUUGCACUGUAUGUUCUCCUCAUCAAUGCCUUCUUCUUCGUGGGCAGCAUACACGCUUGCCGCACAUCCUCUGCUGUGUUGAUGAAGCUCAAGUCGCCGCCACCGCUGCCGUCGCAAGCUGAUUUGUUGCCGUGAGGAGAAUAGUUGAAGCCCCUGAAGGAUCACAGGAGAACAGAAGGAAGCAGCUCGCAUGUUGGUGAACUGGGAAUUAGGUGCACAGGUAGGGAGCACAUGGAUCUCUGUGUUCCUGGAUCACCAGGAAUAUAGAAGAAAUCCUGUGAUGUGUAGAUGUUGCUUGAGGCUCAUAAAGUGGUGACAAGAAGGCAUCCUUCUUUUCCUCCAAGCAAAGCAACACCAGUGCGUUGUUUGCCACACAGAAUACGCAGUAUACAAUAACACAGUGAAUAUAGUAUUUACAUGAGAAUGUGUGGCAUAUUGCUUCCACGCUUCGCUAAUGGCGCGGCGUGGUUGCAGUCACUACGUUGGAUGAACACAUAGGAUACAGAGUGUGUGUGUGUGUGUGAGCGAGAGAGAGAGAUGUGCUUCAGAAGACUGACUUGCAUUGCGUGUUCGUUACAGGAGUUCACUCGCGGCUUGGCUGUCGGUCCCCCACGAUCCCGAGGAGCAGGCGGAGAGGAGGACGGAAGAGCCUGGCAAAAGAACAAACACAGUGUGCGCAUCAUCGUCUCCUUGUUCCCUUGCUUAGCGCUCUCGCCAUGUGACCUGUAUGGUCCCGAGCUGACCCCGUUGCCCUCCUUCCACCUUCCUUCCUGUAGCCGGAACGAUCCAGAUCUCACCAAGAGCUGUCUUCAUCUUUUUGUGAGGACAGACUCCAUGGCCCAGCACUUGUCUGCCUUCUCCUCGCUUUCUGCAUCCGCGGCCUCAAAUGAAACAGUGAGUGGGUGAGUGGCUCCUUUCCCUCGCCUUCACUCCAUAUCCUUAAGCAAACUCACACGCUCGGUGCUCAUCGAAGACAGAUUGUGCAUCACAAAUUGACGCCUGUCGGCACACCGCGACAUUGGCGUCGCGUGCUUUGGGGAUAGAGUGAGCAGGCGGAUGACAGCCACCGGAUUGAUCUCCAUCUUACAGCAUGAAUGGGAGGAAGCUUUUGCUGUGGAAUGUGUCACCGCAUGGGGGCCUAAGUAGUUGUAUCUCAUCGAGCAGUACUGAGAAAACAGUGGAUUUUUCCUGGUAAUGAGACGUCCUUUGGUACUCGGAUUAUAUUUAAUUGCCAUGAUUAGCUACUGUAGAUCACUGUAAUACGAACUGAUUGACAUCAAGAUUUGCACUUCUUGUUGA